GAGGUUAAGCGACUAAGCGUACACGGUGGAUGCCCUGGCAGUCAGAGGCGAUGAAGGACGUGCUAAUCUGCGAUAAGCGUCGGUAAGGUGAUAUGAACCGUUAUAACCGGCGAUUUCCGAAUGGGGAAACCCAGUGUGAUUCGUCACACUAUCAUUACGUGAAUACAUAGCGUAAUGAAGCGAACCGGGGGAACUGAAACAUCUAAGUACCCCGAGGAAAAGAAAUCAACCGAGAUUCCCCCAGUAGCGGCGAGCGAACGGGGAGCAGCCCAGAGUCUGAAUCAGCAUGUGUGGUAGUGGAACGGUCUGGAAAGUCCGGCGAUACAGGGUGACAGCCCCGUACACAAAAGUGCAUGUGUUGUGAACUCGAAGAGUAGGGCGGGACACGUGGUAUCCUGUCUGAAUAUGGGGGGACCAUCCUCCAAGGCUAAAUACUCCUGACUGACCGAUAGUGAACCAGUACCGUGAGGGAAAGGCGAAAAGAACCCGGCGAGGGGAGUGAAAAAGAACCUGAAACCGUGUACGUACAAGCAGUGGGAGCCUCUUUAUGGGGUGACUGCGUACCUUUUGUAUAAUGGGUCAGCGACUUAUAUUCUGUAGCAAGGUUAACCGAAUAGGGGAGCCGAAGGGAAACCGAGUCUUAACUGGGCGUUAAGUUGCAGGGUAUAGACCCGAAACCCGGUGAUCUAGCCAUGGGCAGGUUGAAGGUUGGGUAACACUAACUGGAGGACCGAACCGACUAAUGUUGAAAAAUUAGCGGAUGACUUGUGGCUGGGGGUGAAAGGCCAAUCAAACCGGGAGAUAGCUGGUUCUCCCCGAAAGCUAUUUAGGUAGCGCCUCGUGAAUUCAUCUUCGGGGGUAGAGCACUGUUUCGGCUAGGGGGUCAUCCCGACUUACCAACCCGAUGCAAACUGCGAAUACCGAAGAAUGUUAUCACGGGAGACACACGGCGGGUGCUAACGUCCGUCGUGAAGAGGGAAACAACCCAGACCGCCAGCUAAGGUCCCAAAGUCAUGGUUAAGUGGGAAACGAUGUGGGAAGGCACAGACAGCCAGGAUGUUGGCUUAGAAGCAGCCAUCAUUUAAAGAAAGCGUAAUAGCUCACUGGUCGAGUCGGCCUGCGCGGAAGAUGUAACGGGGCUAAACAUGCACCGAAGCUGCGGCAGCGACACUAUGUGUUGUUGGGUAGGGGAGCGUUCUGUAAGCCGUUGAAGGUGUGCUGUGAGGCAUGCUGGAGGUAUCAGAAGUGCGAAUGCUGACAUAAGUAACGAUAAUGCGGGUGAAAAACCCCGCACGCCGGAAGACCAAGGGUUUCCUGUCCAACGUUAAUCGGGGCAGGGUGAGUCGACCCCUAAGGCGAGGCCGAAAGGCGUAGUCGAUGGGAAACAGGUUAAUAUUCCUGUACUUGGUGUUACUGCGAGGGGGGACGGAGAAGGCUAUGUUAGCCGGGCGACGGUUGUCCCGGUUUAAGCAUGUAGGCGGAGAUUCCAGGUAAAUCCGGAGUCUUGUUAACGCUGAGGUGUGAUGACGAGGCACUACGGUGCUGAAGUAACAAAUGCCCUGCUUCCAGGAAAAGCCUCUAAGCAUCAGGUAACACAAAAUCGUACCCCAAACCGACACAGGUGGUCAGGUAGAGAAUACCAAGGCGCUUGAGAGAACUCGGGUGAAGGAACUAGGCAAAAUGGUGCCGUAACUUCGGGAGAAGGCACGCUGAUAUGUAGGUGAAGUGAUUUACUCCAUGGAGCUGAAAUCAGUCGAAGAUACCAGCUGGCUGCAACUGUUUAUUAAAAACACAGCACUGUGCAAACACGAAAGUGGACGUAUACGGUGUGACGCCUGCCCGGUGCCGGAAGGUUAAUUGAUGGGGUUAUCCGUAAGGAGAAGCUCUUGAUCGAAGCCCCCGGUAAACGGCGGCCGUAACUAUAACGGUCCUAAGGUAGCGAAAUUCCUUGUCGGGUAAGUUCCGACCUGCACGAAUGGCGUAAUGAUGGCCAGGCUGUCUCCACCCGAGACUCAGUGAAAUUGAACUCGCUGUGAAGAUGCAGUGUACCCGCGGCAAGACGGAAAGACCCCGUGAACCUUUACUAUAGCUUGACACUGAACACUGGUCCUUGAUGUGUAGGAUAGGUGGGAGGCUUUGAAGUGUGGACGCCAGUCUGCAUGGAGCCAACCUUGAAAUACCACCCUUUAAUGGCUGGUGUUCUAACGUAGACCCGUAAUCCGGGUUGCGGACAGUGUC
rnacentral:rRNA from 1 species